rnacentral:rRNA from 1 species
GAUGAACGCUGGCGGCGUGCCUAAUACAUGCAAGUCGAACGCUUUUUCUUUCACCGGAGCUUGCUCCACCGAAAGAAAAAGAGUGGCGAACGGGUGAGUAACACGUGGGUAACCUGCCCAUCAGAAGGGGAUAACACUUGGAAACAGGUGCUAAUACCGUAUAACACUAUUUUCCGCAUGGAAGAAAGUUGAAAGGCGCUUUUGCGUCACUGAUGGAUGGACCCGCGGUGCAUUAGCUAGUUGGUGAGGUAACGGCUCACAAAGGCAACGAUGCAUAGCCGACCUGGGAGGGUGAUCGGCCACACUGGGACUGAGACACGGCCCAGACUCCUACGGGAGGCAGCAGUAGGGAAUCUUCGGCAAUGGACGAAAGUCUGACCGAGCAACGCCGCGUGAGUGAAGAGGGUUUUCGGAUCGUAAAACUCUGUUGUUAGAGAAGAACAAGGAUGAGAGUGGAACGUUCAUCCCUUGACGGUAUCUAACCAGAAAGCCACGGCUAACUACGUGCCAGCCGCCGCCGUAA